CAGUCGCUCACUACCUGUGAUCGUUACUUUCUUGCUUGGGUGCACGUUUUAAUUGUGACCAGAAAAAAAAGUUCUUUGCUCUGGCUGCCCUGCUGUGUUUCCUCGGUGCAACUUUUUGCGGUGCAGCAAGACGUGUUGCUUCGAAUGAUGUCUGGGCAGUCAAGGCAUUCGUGUCAGUAAGCAAGCAGUAAACGGGGUAUCAGUGCGAAAAAAAUUGGACAUACAAGAGAAGCGAAUGGUAUCAUCAUAGACUCUUUUAUUUGACGAAUAAUUCAGUUGUAUUACUAAAGCGGAGAGUGGAUAUGCAUGAAAGCCAGAUUGUAUUGAUACUCAGCAAAAACAAGGUAACUUAUCAUUACUAAUCAAUCCUUUUCUUUUACUGAAAGGCAAGUUGCUGUUGUGCUGGAGCUGAGAAGAGGUCUGCCGCCUGCAAUGGGUCCAUCUCUCUCAAGUUAUUGCAGUAUUGUAGCUCACAAGGUUCAAAAAAAGUAUGGUGGAAGCUGUUGCCAAGGUUCCGGCCAGAAAAGACAGCCAGUAUAAAAGGGUCCACGCCACUGAUCUCUACUACAGGGGAUGAACAGCACAUCGAGCGCCCUCAACUAAAGCCGGCCUUGUCCCGGAAGUUGGUGCUUCACAACUUUGCGGCACCACUUUGUUGCACGGCCUGUGGAGACAAGGUUUCUUAGACAUGGCCAUGGCCCUCAAGGAAGAUGCCGAGGCCACAGGCAGUUCCUCCAGUGACCGUGAAAAGGUCCCCUGGGGCACAAGUCUGGUUUGGCACCCCCACCUUUCUCCUGCAGCUUUUCUGUCUACUUAGCUAACCAGGUGGGUCAAUGAUGGCAAAGGGAAAAAAGAAUCAACAGCAUCAAACACAGAACUUGCUCAAGCUCAAUGCAUUUUUGGUGUGAAGUUUUUCCCUUAUCAUUUAUCAAAAAACGGGUAAUGGUCUUCAUACGGACACCUCUUUCCCACAGAGAAUUAGCAGUAAAAAAAGCAGCUUAUGAAGGCUUGAAUAUUAGCUAGGAUGAUGUGGCAUAGAUAGGAUAAUGAUUAUGAAUGUUUCUAAUGAAGGUAGUGGUAGUAGAGUGAAUAAUCAGAGUUUAUAUAUACAUUAAAAGACAUUUCGUUCCAAUGCCAGAAUUUUAAAUCAUCCCAAAUAAUUCUUGUGUUUGAUAGUCUAUGCACAUUGAGUGACAGUGCUUCUUGAUGCUUGCUUCUUGCUGACAUCAUUCUUAUGCUGCAUAAUUCACCUGUUAUAAGUUCCCUAUUUCUCCCGUUCAAGCAACUUUACAUUCAUCAUAAGAAACCUCGUAGAUGAGUUCCAGAAACUUGCUGAUGAGAUUAGGGGGCGGCGUGUACUCCAGGCUUAGAUAUGCAUUCAAGAGCCUCAUAUCUUGCAAAUGUUAGAAAUACUCCUGCUAAGCAAGUUCUUGGUGUCAUACAAGGUUAUUUGCAAAUACGAAUUUGCCUAAAUUUAGAAAACAGUCAAUCUAAAACAUGUCAAGCGAUAUCGCUGACGAUACACACACAUUCCAACUGAACUAAAUACAAAUAAAUAUAGCACCAAAUGCAGAAUCAUUGGCAUGAUGCCAUUCUUUCAGUGGAAUAAAAUCUGUCCUGCGUUGUAAAUCUGGAAUCCUUUAUAAUCCAGACUACUAAAUACUUAUGAGGGUUGUGACGUAAAAUAUGCAUGUAUUUAUUCCUCGUUUUUUUACUUUAAGACCCGAUAAUGCUUAAACAGCAGUGAAAGAACUGAGAUCACAGUACCUAAUACUUUAUAUUGCUCCAGAAAUCCGUUUCUCUGCCGAUCGCAGCAUUCGACACUAACAAGAAGGCACAUAACACUUAGGUUGGUGCUAUUCACUUUGAUUGUUUGGGAACGAAACCCAUAAUGUACAUGUUAUGGCCCUACGUGUCAUUACGUUUGAACAACAAAAAGUUAGGGGGUUUGCAUUUUGCAAAACUGCAUGGAGGUUUUUACUGUGUGCAAUUAAAAUUAGGAACCUUCCCAGCUCAUACUAAAUGCAUUCUCCAAAGCUUUAGGUUAUACAGGUGCACUACUUUACACAGAACACACUCUUUUCCCUCGUCACGGCCCACACUCUUAGGCAGAGUUACACCCUUUGAAGUGCCCCUUCUUCCGCACAACGAUAAUUGUCAUCUGCCUUUAUGCAUUUCCUUUCUUUAACGCUGCGAGCCCUGUGCUUUCCAGUAACGAACGGCAUGCGCGUUAUCAGCAUGAUAGCAUUCCCGACAGCAAAGUAGCGGGCGUGGCGUUUUCAAGAAAGGAAACGCAUCAAGGCAGAUAACGAUUAUUGUUGUGUGGCAGAAGGGACACUCCAAAGGGUGUAACUUUGCCUAAGAGUGCAGGUGGUGAUCCAGAUUCUUCAAAGGUGUUUCAUUGUAUGGGAUGGCACAUCGCGCUUCACUUAUUUGCAGAAUAUUGCAUUCCAAUUGUGUCAUAUGAGAUAAAUCCAUUAGAGAGCUUUAGCUUGCCCUAAAUUUAUUACAGCUGUGUACUGGUAAACUGGCCGCAGCUUGCAGUGCUUGUGGAAAAACAAUUGUAACUGCCAUAUUAUAUGUAACUGCUAGUGCACAGGCAUCGGCAGCAGCAAUGGUUAGGGUACACUUGUUUCUUCUAUUCUAGGGUAUGCAUCCUCCACCAGAAAGUAGUUUUUUUCGUCUUCCUCUUCUACCAUAUUGGAAUGUGAAAUGGGGUGCAAUUUGUAGGGUAUACUCUUGCACAAACUUCAUGAGCAUUUAUUCUUGUCUGUGCCACAGAUCAUUGUUGCUACCACUGUAAAAGCAGGGUGCCUGUUUACAGCACCCGUAGGGAACAAUCUGUGAAUCUUUAACGAACAGUAAGGAUAAUGAAUAAUCGAAUAAUUUUUA